rnacentral:misc_RNA from 1 species
GGAAGUAAAAGUCGUAAUAAGGUUUCCGUAGGUGAACCUGCGGAAGGAUCAUUAUUGAGAACCCGUAAAGGACUUAUGCUGUGCGCCUUCACCGGCUGCACGCCUGGGUCUGAUACAUUUACACCUGUGCACCUUUUGACCCGCAUAUAGUCAGUCGGGUCCUUACACACACUUAUAAAUCUUAGAAUGCCAUUUAUAAAUUUUAUGACAACUUUCAACAACGGAUCUCUUGGCUCUC